rnacentral:rRNA from 1 species
AUUGAACGCUGGCGGCAUGCCUAACACAUGCAAGUCGAACGAGUGGCGGACGGGUGAGGACUGUUUAGGAAACUGCGCGUUGGCGGCGCAUAACUACGGGAUACGGCUUGUAAUACCGCACACCAUCCGCUUUGCGCUGUUGGGGUUAGCUAGUGGGGGGGUUAACGGCUCACCUAGGCGACGAUCCCUAGCUGGUCUGAGAGGAUGACCGGCCACACUGGAACUGAGACACGGUCCAGACUCCUACGGGAGGCAGCAGUGGGGAAUCUUGCACAAUGGGCGCAAGCCUGAUGCAGCCAUGCCGCGUGUAUGAAGAAGGCCUUCGGAUCGUAAAGUACUUUCGGCGGGGAGGCGUUACCCGAAGAAGAAGCACCGGCUAACUCCGUGCCAGCAGCCGCGGUAAUAC